UACGUAGGGGACGAGCGUUGUCCGGAAUUAUUGGGCGUAAAGAGCGUGUAGGCGGCCAUACAGGUCAGCUGUGAAAACUCGAGGCUCAACCUCGAGACGUCGGUUGAAACCGUAUGGCUAGAGUCCGGAAGAGGAGAGUGGAAUUCCCGGUGUAGCGGUGAAAUGCGCAGAUAUCGGGAAGAACACCCGUGGCGAAGGCGGCUCUCUGGGACGGUACUGACGCUGAGACGCGAAAGCGUGGGGAGCGAACAGG
rnacentral:rRNA from 1 species